AUUUUUUUUUUCUUGUUAAUUUGUUUGAGCCAGCUGAUUUUUAUAUUUUUUGUAGAGAUGAAGUUUCAUCUGGUUGCCCAGGUGGGCCUCAAACAUCUGGGCUCAAGCAAUCUGCCUGCCUCUGCCUCCCAAAGUGCUGGGAUUAUAGAUGUGAGCCAUUGCACCCGGCCAAUUUACUUAUUUUGUUUAUUGUCUAUCCCUCCCUCACCUCAUCCCCUCCAGCAGGGAUUUUUGACUGGUUUGAUCACCACUGUGUUCCCAGUGCCUAGAAUCAUGCAUCACAGAGUAGGUGCUCAAAAACAUUUGUUCCCACAUCGACUGCUGUGCCUGAGCAGGCAAGGUAGGAACAAAAGGAAAGAUAGAGUUGGCUGAAGACUAUAUUAUUCUGUUCGGCAGUUCUCUACUUACACAGAGAACAAAGAGCAUCAAUCAAAGUGAACCACAGUGUCUGGGAGGCAGCGAGAAUUCCAGAACAUAGGAUAUGAGCAGCAAGAAAGAAAGCGCAAGAGAUGAGAGAAUGAAAGGGAAGCCGGAAGAAGCAGUAUCUGAGGGCAGGUGCUGGCACAAUGAACAAAGCUGCCCUUUUGAUGCAUGUUGGGCUAGUGCAUUUAGCCCCCUGGCUACCCUCACUGUGGCUGAAUGUGAUCAGUCCUUGGAGUUACUCCAUGGGAUAAGUGGUGUGUUUGUGGUAUUAUGGCAGCUCAUGCAUCUUUGAACUGGCUCCUGUGUUCUGUGGUAUGUGCUGUAUCAUCUAAGCCCUCUUCCUCCCUAUUUCACAUGGAAAAAUCAGCUCUUUCUCUCUGAGAAAUAAUGCAGGGGCAGAGAAGAAAAGAAAAGCGAAGCAUCUUCCAAUGGAGCUAGAGAGUAAAGCUUUAGAUUCUUAAUCUUUGGUCUUUGGGGUUUGUUGUUGUUGUUGUUUGAGACAGUUUCACUCUGUUGCCCAGGCUGGAGUGCAGUGGCAUGAUCUCAACUCACUGCAACCUCUGCCUCCUGGGUUCAAGUGAUCCUCACACCUUAGCUUCCCAAGUAGCUGGGACCACAGGCACUCAGCACCACACCUGGCUAGUUUUUUUUUUUAAUUUUUUGUAGAGAUAGGGUCUCACCAUGUCGCCCAGGCUGGUCUUGAAUUCCUGGACUCAAGCAAUCCUUCUGCCUCAGCCUCCCAAAGUGCUGGGAUUACAGGUGUGAGCCACCGUGCCUAGCCUCUCUUUGGUCUUUUUUUUUUAGAGGGAGUCUCGCUCUGUCACCCAUGCUGGAGUGUUGUGGUACGAUCUCGGCUCACUGCAACCUCCACCUCCUGGGUUCAAGCGAUUCUCCUGCCUCAGCUUCCCAAUGAGUUGGGAUUACAGGUGCCCAUCACCACGCCUGGCAAAUUUUUGUAUUUUAGGGGAGACAGGGUUUCACCAUGUUGGUCAGUCUGGUCUUGAACUCCUGACCUCAAAUGAUCCAUCUGCCUCCGUCUCCCAAAGUGCUGGGAUUACAGGCGUGAACCAUCACGCCUGGCCCUCUUUGGUCUUUUGAUUGAUCACUGUUGGCUUCCACUUUGGGGAUGAUCAUGCUGACUUUUCCUCCAUGAAUGAUCCUGGUAAACUUUUCUUUGAGCUCUUUAAAAACCAAUUUCCCCAUCCCACAGCAUCUGUUUCAGGGAAGGCUGCUGCCAGCCUAUGGAGUGUGUAAAUUCAAAAAGGAUACUCCUUGUGUGGACACAGCUUCACCAGCACAUGGGUUGGUGGGAGCUGUUGCCUUUGUGCAAAGAAAAGGCAUUCCUUCCUGCAGGACUGGAAUUCAGCCCCACUUGCCUCCUUGGCUGGGCACCUUUGCACAGUGUAUAAACUCGUGUCCUUACAUAGUGGUCUUCUAGUCAAAUUCUUUCUAGUCAUCAUCUGUAAACAUAAAAUACCUAUAGAGUAAAGCUCUAAAACCUGCCAGGGCCAAAGGUGUAUGUUGAAUGGGGUUGUGCCAGAAGUUCUAGGAUGUAUUUCUAGAUUUCCAAAGCGAGAAGAUGAGAUUCACUCCUGAAGUAAUUCUUGCUACCAAAAGGAGCCAGUUUCCAGCCCAGCCCACCAGCAGAGGCAAUUGAGCAGAGGCAAGCAGAUGCUGAUGAUGGAGGAGAUCAGCACAUUCCAAGUAGAGAAAGGAGCCAUUUUUGGGUUAUAAGUAACUGACAGCAGGCAUUUUGCAGAGCACUUUGGACGAGGCAAC
rnacentral:lncRNA from 10 species